rnacentral:lncRNA from 1 species
ACCAAUUAAUUCAAAAUUUAAAAUUCAAAAACAAAAUAGUUAGAAAGGUAGUUUAUUUUGUCUUAACAAUGCCACGUGGCUUUUUAUGGUUAUGACAUUAGUCUUAAUAUAGUGCUUUUGUUUCUCCUAUUCUAUAUAGAUAGAAGAUAUCAUAUUCUAUAUAGAUAGAUUAUGGCACUUUUGCUUCUCCUAUUCUAUAUAGGUAGAUAGAUUUGAAUUGGGUUUUUUUUAAUUUUGAUUUUAAUUUAAAAUAGUUUUAAAACUCCAACUUUGUUGGCUACACUUGUCGUCUUAUGGUUAUGCCACUUGGAUCAUAUAAUUAUUUACUUCUCUUUAUAUAUAUUACUCCCACAUUUGAAUUGGUAGUUUUUAUUUUUUGUUUUUUAUUUUAAAACUCCAACUUGAAAUUACUCCCCAAUUUGAAUGAGUAGUUUAUUUUUUAUAUUUUCGUUUUUUAUAGACAAUUAAGAUAUCUACAUUUGUUAAUUCAAGUAGAGUAACCAAUUAAUUCAAAAUUUAAAAUUCAAAAAAAAAAGUUAGAAAGGUAGUUUAUUUUGUCUUAACAAUGCCACUUGGCUUUUUAUGGUUAUGACAUUUGUCUUAAUAUAAUACUUUUGCUUCUCCUAUUCUAUAUAGAUAGAUUUUGAAAAGAGCAUUUACCUAACUAACACAUGACAAAAGCACACAGUAGAGAGCAGACAUGAACCAGAUAUUCUAUACCGAGAAAAGAAGAAGAAUAUGAGUUACAAAAGCUGUGUGUAAUUCUGACAGAAAGCUCUCUACUGUUAGUCUGUUACAACAAGUACAUCAAUGAUAUUUCUUAGUUAAUUAUCUCAUCAGGUGAUCAAGGGGUUCCUUUUUCAAUAUGAGAUUUAGGAUGUUGAAUAUAAUCUCAUUGCUGCUCUC